rnacentral:rRNA from 1 species
UACGAGGGGGGCAAGCGUUGUUCGGAAUUAUUGGGCGUAAAGGGUGCGUAGGCGGUGCGGUAAGUCUGUUGUGAAAUCUCCGGGCUCAACUCGGAGUCUGCAUCAGAAACUGCCGUGCUGGAGUGUGGGAGAGGUGAGUGGAAUUCCCAGUGUAGCGGUGAAAUGCGUAGAGAUCGGGAGGAACACCUGCGGCGAAAGCGGCUCACUGGACCAUAACUGACGCUGAUGCACGAAAGCUAGGGGAGCAAACAGG